CGGGCGACCAGGCGGGAGGCUGCCGGAAAUCAGCCCGGCGCGCCCUCUCCUUUACGACCCUCGUUCCAUCACCACAGGCCGUGGCCCCAAAGCAGCGGCAACCAUGGGCCAGCGCAGUCAGGGAGCCGAAUGUUAUGGAACCUGGACUGGAUCCUGGAGGAAGAACCAAAUGGCCCUCAGAGACCUUGGAGGAUCGGAGGUUUACUUAACACCGUCCUGCCCUGGGGUCCUAUUUUUCUCUGCUAGCUGAAUCUACUUACACAUCUGGCACACCCACGGUUUGUAAGAGCCAAACCCAGAGGGAAACACACCCUCGGCCUCUGAAUACAACUGUCAUUAAGGAUCCUGCCAUAUAACCCAGUGCAACCUCUCUUCCCACCCCGAAAUACAGACUCAACGAAUGUAGAAGCAUGGAAAAACCCAAGAAGUAUGACAGAUCUAAGGUAAUUUUACAGUGAUGGUGGAG